AUUGAACGCUGGCGGCAGGCCUAACACAUGCAAGUCGAGCGGUAGCACAGGGAGCUUGCUCCUGGGUGACGAGCGGCGGACGGGUGAGUAAUGUCUGGGAAACUGCCUGGUGGAGGGGGAUAACUACUGGAAACGGUAGCUAAUACCGCAUAACGUCGCAAGACCAAAGAGGGGGACCUUCGGGCCUCUUGCCAUCAGAUGUGCCCAGAUGGGAUUAGCUAGUAGGUGGGGUAACGGCUCACCUAGGCGACGAUCCCUAGCUGGUCUGAGAGGAUGACCAGCCACACUGGAACUGAGACACGGUCCAGACUCCUACGGGAGGCAGCAGUGGGGAAUAUUGCACAAUGGGCGCAAGCCUGAUGCAGCCAUGCCGCGUGUAUGAAGAAGGCCUUCGGGUUGUAAAGUACUUUCAGCGGGGAGGAAGGUGUUGAGGUUGAUAACCUCAGCAAUUGACGUUACCCGCAGAAGAAGCACCGGCUAACUCCGUGCCAGCCGCCGCGGUAAUAC
rnacentral:rRNA from 1 species